AGUCGAACGCGAAAGUUUCUUCGGAAAUGAGUAGAGUGGCGCACGGGUGAGUAACGCGUGGAUAAUCUACCUAUUGGUACGGGACAACAGUUGGAAACGACUGCUAAUACCGUAUAAGCUGGAAACGGGAAAGGGGGCCUCUUCUUGAAAGCUCUCGCCAGUAGAUGAGUCCGCGUUUCAUUAGCUAGACGGUGGGGUAACGGCCUACCGUGGCAACGAUGAAUAGCAGGCCUGAGAGGGUGGCCUGCCACACUGGGACUGGAACACGGCCCAGACUCCUACGGGAGGCAGCAGUGGGGAAUAUUGCGCAAUGGACGAAAGUCUGACGCAGCGACGCCGCGUGGAGGAUGAAGGUUUUCGGAUCGUAAACUCCUGUCAAGAGGGAAGAAACCUAUUAAGAAUAAUACUCUUAGUAAUUGACGGUACCUCUAGAGGAAGCACCGGCUAAUUCAGUGCCAGCAGCCGCGGUAAUACUGAAGGUGCAAGCGUUAAUCGGAAUCACUGGGCGUAAAGCGCUCGUAGGUGGCUUUGUAAGUCAGAUGUGAAAGCCCACGGCUCAACCGUGGAAUUGCAUUUGAUACUGCAUCGCUAGAGUAUAGGAGAGGGAAGUGGAAUUUCUGGUGUAGGAGUGAAAUCCGUAGAGAUCAGAAGGAACACCGGUGGCGAAGGCGACUUCCUGGACUAUUACUGACACUGAGGAGCGAAAGCGUGGGGAGCAAACA
rnacentral:rRNA from 1 species